ACACGAUGUUGAUGUUGGUGUUAAUAAUGAUGAUGAUGAUGAUGAUCCACAUCAUCAUCAUCAUCACACCAUCAACUAUG
rnacentral:miRNA from 1 species